AUUAUCUGGAGUUCCCACUGUGGCACGUGGGGAUGGCCAGUGUCUCUACAGCACUGGGACACAGGUUCGAUCUCCAGCCCAGCACAGUGGGUUAAGGAUCUCGAGUAGCCAUGGCUGCAGCAUAGGUUGAAAUGGUGGCUCAGAUCUAAUCCCUGGCCUGGGGAACUCCAUAUGCCACAGAGCGGCCAAAACAACAACAAAUAAAAAAUAAAAUAAAAUAAAAUCAUUAUCAAUAGAAGUAUUUUCAUUCACCUGUUGUUAAAUGUUUAGUGUUUCUUUUACUGUUGUGUCUUAUACACAACUGAGUUUUAGCCAGUGUUUUAUUAUUUCUUUGAUUCUUCUUUUCAUGAUACCUGAAUUUGGAGCCCUCUUUCCAUUAAUGCUUUAGGUGACUCUGCUAUGAGUACCAUCUAGGCAAACCCACACUCAGGGAAUUCCCUUGUGGCAUGGUCAGUUAAGGUCCAGUGUCACUUCAGUGGUUUGGAUUGCUCCUGUGCACAGGUUCCAUCCCUGACAUAGGAACUUCCACAUGCUGCAGGCGUGGCCAAAAACAAAAAGACAAAACAACAAAAAAAAAACCCCUACACUCAGGCAUUGUGGAGAGGAUGAUGCAUUGCUUUUAAGGAAGUUUGGAAGGAGGGGGAUUUAAAUGACCUUCAAAGACUAAUGUCAGGCCCCCAUGUCAAUGUCAGUGCAAUUCAUGCAUGCAUGGAGAGUGGGAAAGGGAACUUAAUUAUGGAGGAGGGGAAUCGUAACCCUGCUUGAAUGGGUAGUUGAAAGUCCUGGACCCGCCCCUUAGCCUCAAAAAAGGACUUUCUUAUAUUCGCUGCCAAAGAGGUCACAGGGAGAGCCCACAUAAAUACCAUCCUCCCUCUGGGGUGUGAGUGUGUGAGCCAGUCUUAUUCUUCUGCUUCCACAGGUGCAGAAUAGGUUCACCAAAUAGUAUUCUGAUCUCCAUUGAACAGAAUUUGGCAUCUUAUUGUCCUUUUCCAGAAAAUCAAUCCCUUUAAAGCAUGGAGCAUGGCAAUUUUAGGUCAGCAGGCAUUUAAAACACCUUUUUAACUUUGAAGGCCUGGCCUAAUAAGAUAUAUUUUGUACAAAAUACCAGUAUUAUCAAGAUGAGACUUGAAUCAUUUAAAUCUUGAAAGGGGCUUAGUUUUAGCUGCUAGUAUACCUUUUACCUGUGAAAUUACUUCUUGUUGUCAUUUAAUGGCACUGUCCUUCUGGAGGACUGUGAUCAUCAUCAGAUACCGGGCUACAUUCCUUUUGCUAACCUUUCGUAGCUGUUCAGAAUUCAUUACAGUGUUUGGAAUGAGGAGACCCACAGUGACCCAUGUCACUAUCUUUUUGGACCAUAAAAUAGCCUUCCGUAGUUAGCUUGGAUGACAACAGAAACCAGCCUUAUGUAGUUAGGAACGGCUCCACCAUGGCUACAGUCCAAAUGGCCAAAGGAGUUAGUCAUGGUCAGGCCUAUCCAUUUCAUUAAUUUUUGAAAAGUCAUAUCAUUGAGGCAGAGCUGUACCUUUGGCUUAUUAAUACAGGGGUCUGAACAGAAAAAUCUAUUUCAGUAAAAUCCUUGAGAGUUGCUGAAAACACAGGAUGCUUCUUUUUACUUUAAAUAGAACUUUUCUACUUUGGAGGGAAAGUGCUGAACAAACAUGGCCCCAGUUGUUACCGGUACAAAAAUGUAAUCAUACAGCCCCUGCCAUUUCUAAAGUUUGGGAAAAGUUCUGUGUUAAUCUAAAUAAAAUUUUAAUUUUUUUCUAAAUAUAUAUUCAGAUCUUAAUACUUAGUGAAGGAUUUUGGUAGGAAGUAGGAAAACAAAGCUCUGUCUUUUUUCCUCAUCUGUGUAAACCUUUUCCCUCUGUUUUGGCGGGGGCCAGGGGUUGAACCCAUGCCACAGCAGGGACUCCGGCCACUGCAGUGACAGUGCUGGGCCCUUUAACCCACUGUGUCCCAAGGGAACUCCUUCCCUCCGAUUUUUUGUUUUGUUUUGUUUUAGGGCCUCAUGUUCAGCAUAUGGAUGUUCCCAGGCUAGGGGUCAAAUUGGAGCUGCAGCUGCCAGCCUAUGCCACAGCCACAGCAAUACCAGAUCAGAGCCUUGGCUUCAACCUACACCACAGCUCACUGCAAUGCUGGAUCCUUAACCCACUGAGCAGGGCCAGGGAUCAAAUCUGUAUCCUCAUGGAUGCUAGACGGGUUUGUUUCUGUUGAGCCACAGUGAGGAGCUCCCUCCUUCCCUCUGUUUUAGUAGAAGUUCUUGAGUGCAUAGACCAUGUCAGAGCCCAUUUUCAAAGCAGUUCAUAGAGAGUUAGCUGUGCAAUUUACUUACUCUUGGUCGCCAAGAAGGAGUAAAAAUCACAGAACCGGAUGGCUACUUAAGAGCAAACUUGAGGGCCUAGACCAGAGAGCAAGAAGAAGGCUGGGAGGUGGUCUCAGGAACAUAUAAUUUACAGUAACACAAUAGAUAUUAGGUAGUGGAAAGUUUAGGCUACUAUAUACCAGAAACCUGCUCCUAAGAAGUUUUUACUUGGAAUUGGCUUUCUAAGUAAAGUUUUUGUGCCUAUUAGAAUGCCACAGAAUUCAUCUUUUGGCUUUUUGUCCUGUGAAGGCAUUAGAAUUUAAAACAGACCCUUUAACAUGAUUUAUGGCUGACAAGAAAUAGCAGUACAGUUAAGGCAGGUGUAAUUUAAUUACCCUGUCUGUGGGAAUGGGCCUGUUCCCACUAAAAUUGUCUGUGGGUAAAAUCACAACAAAGAUCACAGUUCCUGUUGUGGCUCAGCAGAAAUGAACCCAACUAGUAUCCAUGAGGUCACAGGUUUGAUCCCUGGCCCCGCUCAGUGGGUUAAAGGAGCCAGCGUUGCCAUGAGCUGUGGUGUAGGUCACAGACAUGGCUCAGAUCCCAUGUGGCUGUGGCCGGCAGCUGUAGCUCUGAUUCAGUCCCUAGCCUGGGAA
ensembl:lncRNA